GGGCCCAUAGCUCAGUCGGUCAGAGCAGGUGACUCAUAAUCACUUGGUCCCUGGUUCGAGUCCAGGUGGGCCCA
rfam:Omnitrophica WOR_2 bacterium GWA2_47_8 gwa2_scaffold_6191, whole genome shotgun sequence.